GUGAGUAGUUCAGAGUUUGAUCCUGGCUCAGGAUGAACGCUGGCGGCAUGCCUAACACAUGCAAGUCGAACGGAGUACCCGGAAUUGAAGCUUCGGCCGAUUUUCUGGAAUACUUAGUGGCGGACGGGUGAGUAACACGUGAGUAACCUGCCCUUGAGUGGGGGAAUAACACACCGAAAGGUGUGCUAAUACCGCAUAACAUAUGGAGUUCGCAUGAACAUCAUAUCAAAGAUUUAUUGCUCAAGGAUGGGCUCGCGUCCGAUUAGGUAGUUGGUGAGGUAACGGCUCACCAAGCCGACGAUCGGUAGCCGGACUGAGAGGUUGAUCGGCCACAUUGGAACUGAGACACGGUCCAA
rnacentral:rRNA from 1 species